AAACACAUGCAAGUCGAACGGGGUUAACCUGAUGAAGCCUUCGGGCAGAUUCUUGUUGACCUAGUGGCGAACGGGUGAGUAACGCGUGAGCAACCGGUCCUAAAGAGGGGGGACAACUUUGAGAAAUCAAGGCUAAUACCGCGUAAGACCACACUGCGGCAUCGCAGAGGGGUCAAAGGAGAAAUCCGCUUUAGGGAGGGCUCGCGUCUGAUUAGCUAGUUGGUGAGGUAACGGCUCACCAAGGCGACGAUCAGUAGCCGUGCUGAGAGGCAGGCCGGCCACACUGGAACUGAGACACGGUCCAGACUCCUACGGGAGGCAGCAGUGGGGAAUCUUGGGCAAUGGGGGAAACCCUGACCCAGCGACGCCGCGUGAGGGAAGAAGGUCUUCGGAUUGUAAACCUUUGUGACAGGGGACGAACACAAUGACGGUACCCUGAGAGGAAGCCCCGGCUAACUACGUG
rnacentral:rRNA from 1 species